rnacentral:lncRNA from 1 species
AGCGGGUUGGGCUGUGCUGUGUCUCUCGCUGCCUGGUCACUGAGGGCUCUGUGACAGCUUUCUCCUGCGCCCAUUUGUGCCAAGAUGCUUGAGGAAACACACCAUAUUCUGCCCUUGCCUGUACAUGUCUUAUCCUUUAUGGUUUCUCAUUAUGACCUUAAUGUUUUCUUACUGAUUUUUAGAGUGUGAAUAGACCAGUGGCAGUACACAUUGCACUUAGAAAAAUGCUAUCCUGUUAGUGCAGAGUGUUGUCUCUGCUGGGAGAAUAAUUGUUUGUGUAAUUUGUGUAAUUUAAAUUAAAUGUUGGCUUCAUUUGUUGGCAGUGGACGUUUAGCUUUCAUAUAGCACUGGCAGAGCAGUGUUGCAGGGCAUUCUGGAGGGAACGGGAGCUUGCAGGGUGAUGGGGUUAACGUGCGACCCGUGGGUUGAGCUCAGCAUGAGACCUGGGGGACACCAGCUGAGUGCUGCCAGGAAGUUUAACAGCUUCUUUUUUAGUACAUCCAGGCAUCUGAACUCUGUGAGACUUCGCACUCUUCAUUACACCUGCUCAGUGUUACUGCUUCUGGCAGUGUGUAGAUGGAAUGGGAAGAAAAUUCACACGGGGACUUUCCUAACCUGAGGUGUUUUAGAGGUGAUCGUUGAGGAGGCAUAGCAUAGGAACUUUAUAACCUUACCAUUAAUUAUUAAUAACAAUAUAAUUAACUAAUUAAUUAUAGUCAUUCAAUUUAGGAAGCAUAGCAUAGGAACUUUAUAACCUUAGCAUAGCUAAGGUGGUGGUUUUGUUACGUAGCAGAGGAGAGGACUCCUAAACCUUUUGAAUGCUUAUGAAAGUUUUGCGUUUCUUCCA